rnacentral:rRNA from 1 species
AGAUUGACGCUGGCGGCAGGCCUAACACAUGCAAGUCGAGCGGAAACGAGUUAUCUGAACCUUCGGGGAACGAUAACGGCGUCGAGCGGCGGACGGGUGAGUAAUGCCUAGGAAAUUGCCCUGAUGUGGGGGAUAACCAUUGGAAACGAUGGCUAAUACCGCAUAAUGCCUACGGGCCAAAGAGGGGGACCUUCGGGCCUCUCGCGUCAGGAUAUGCCUAGGUGGGAUUAGCUAGUUGGUGAGGUAAGGGCUCACCAAGGCGACGAUCCCUAGCUGGUCUGAGAGGAUGAUCAGCCACACUGGAACUGAGACACGGUCCAGACUCCUACGGGAGGCAGCAGUGGGGAAUAUUGCACAAUGGGCGCAAGCCUGAUGCAGCCAUGCCGCGUGUGUGAAGAAGGCCUUCGGGUUGUAAAGCACUUUCAGUCGUGAGGAAGGUAGUGUAGUUAAUAGCUGCAUUAUUUGACGUUAGCGACAGAAGAAGCACCGGCUAAU